AGUCGUGAUCAGAGGGGGGAGAUGGAAAACGAGACAAGGGUAAAAGCAUCCCCCAUACACACACAUAGGGACUCACACAUUUCUGGUCCCUAAGAUUUCUGGUGCGAGAUUUCAGAAGACAGUGGGCUUCUGCGAGCUGUUCUGUACUGUGUCUCCCACCUUCCCUAGACUUGCUCUGUGGGAGCAGGGGGCCCUGUAGGACAGGAGCUGAAUGAAGGCUGAGCGUUUUCAUACGUGGUUGAUAUUCUUGAUCUUUUCGAGACCAUUCCACGUGGCUAUUGAACAAUAAAUUAAAAUUAAAUCUAUAGUAAAAGGAGAAAAAAAUCUGAAACUAUACUCAAAUUAUUUUAAAUAUAAAUGAACAAAGUGACCUGAAGAAAUUAAAUAGAGGUUUAUUUUAGGAGCUGCCACAGCAGCUGGCUCCAUGGCUUAGUUGGUUAAAGCGCCUGUCUUGUAAACAGGAGAUCCUGGGUUCGAAUCCCAGUGGGGCCUAUCAAGCUCUCUCUUUUUUUCCUUCCUGCACGUUUCUUUAGUUGCGUGGAUGGAUGAAGGAGCAGUUAGCCUUGAAAAUGGUGGAAUAACAAAGAACAAGCACAGGCUUUGCAAGCCCUCUUCUCAUCCAGAAACAAAUGAAUAGAACUUACAAGAACAAAAAGGGGACCAGAGCGAGCGUGCUUAAAAAAAAGAAAAAACCUUAUAAGAAUAAAAAGGGUACCUACUGAGUGAGUGUGCCAAGAUCGUUUUUAGGAGCGUUGUCAUGGGUGUGCCCUCUGGGCGCACAGUGGCCCGAAAGUGGGAGGGAGGGGGUACGGGAAACCGCAGCUGAUAUUCCAGAACAAGAAAGGGCUAUUGCCAGGCUGGAAGUUGCGGUGGGACUUGGUGACUGGAACUGACUUGGGGGAACUCCUGACCAACGCAAUUAUAACAUUUUGGAAAGAGCACCCUCUGCUAGCAAGUUGGGAGGCUGCUGCUCCUCACGCAGAGUUCCCGUUGUUUGAUCAGAAAAUGUGGACAUGGCGGAGAGCAAAGAUCGAUUUGAACAGGCAGCUUCUGCGGAGACAGCAGUGUGGAGUUUGGAGGGAGCAGCAAGCUUCUGGGUUGAGUUCACAUCAUGGUGCACAAAAACAUCAGUCCGGGUGACCGAGUGACCGGUCGUUUCCUCCCAAGAGUUCCAGCAGAAACAAAUAAAUGUGCAAGUGUAUCAGCA
rnacentral:tRNA from 1 species